GAAUUACAGCAGCCAUGUUGUCCUUAGACGUCUAGUGAAAAACACAGACAGGUGAUUGUGUAUAUUGUGAAAGUCUGAAUGGAAGAUCAUUGUGAAACUGGAGGGAGGGACUGAAGAAGUGCUCAGGUGACAUGUCACACGAUGAUGUCAGAGCAUUUGCAACACAACACAGUAUUAGCAAUAACAUCUAGUUUACCCAUAUUUAAUUCAAACUUACAAGUUCGAGGAUUAGAACUGGUUAAACUAUUGCUCAUUGGAUCCAAGCAGUUAAAAAGAGAAAUCACUGACCCAGAGGAAAUGACAAACAUGACUAGUAUAGUCUGUAGCAAAGUAAUUUUUUUUUUUUGCUGCAGUUAAUGAGUCUAUGCUUCAGAAAAUGCUUCAGGAAACCAGACAAGCAGGGUGGUUCACUCUAUCCUGCAAGCGAACUAACCAGUAAAUUCCAGAAAGUGAGAGCACUGCAUCUGCGGAUCUUUCAAGCAGGAAAAUCGAGAGGAGACGACAGAUUACUAAUGUCAGUUCAUAUCACCACUACAGGUCAAGCUUGGCAUAGAGCUCAGUAGCAUCCGAUGGAUGAAGCAAGCAUCAGUGAUGGAGCUCCUUCCUCCUUUUACUGCCAUCUCUGCUCUUCCUCAUCCUGUAAGUCUUCCUGGC